GAAAACAUGGCAAGGAAGUAAAGAUUAUUGUUCUUCCCAUGAUUCCAGACUUCUUAAGAUAGAAAGCAAGGAAGAACUGGAUUUCAUAUUAUCAUUGUCAUGUCGCUUGUGGAUUGGAUUAUCCCGUAAUGCAGUGAAUAGGACCUGGGUGUGGGAGGAUGGUGCAGCACUUCCCACUGACUUGUUUCAAGUCAGUGAAAAUUACUAUGAAGGGGACUGUGUGGUUUUGGAAGAUGGCAAAGCCCAAUCCUAUGGAUGCAUACAUCAUAAUCGUUGUGUUUGUAAGAAAAAAA